rnacentral:rRNA from 1 species
AACCUGGUUGAUCCUGCCAGUAGUCAUAUGCUUGUCUCAAAGAUUAAGCCAUGCAUGUCUAAGUAUAAAUAGUAUACAGUAAAACUGCGAAUGGCUCAUUAAAACAGUUAUAGUUUAUUUGAUAAUGGAAGGCUACAUGGAUAGCCGUGGUAAUUCUAGAGCUAAUACAUGCUGUUAAACCUGACUCCUGGAAAGGUUGUAUUUAUUAGAUAUCAAGCCAAUAUUCCUUCGGGUCUAUUGUGGUGAAUCAUAGUAACUGAUCGAAUUGCAGGAUACCUGCGAUAGUUCAUUCAAGUUUCUGCCCUAUCAGCUCUCGAUGGUAGUGUAUUGGCCUACCAUGGCAGCAACGGGUAACGGAGAAUUAGGGUUCGAUUCCGGAGAGGGAGCCUGAGAAACGGCUACCACAUCUAAGGAAGGCAGCAGGCGCGUAAAUUACCCAAUCCCGAUUCGGGGAGGUAGUGACAAGAAAUAUAAACCCGGGGAAUUCUAUUCUUACGGGAUUUAAAUGAGAACAAUUUAAAUCACUUAGCGAGGAACAAUUGGAGGGCAAGUCUGGUGCCAGCAGCCGCGGUAAUUCCAGCUCCAAUAGC